rnacentral:rRNA from 1 species
GACGAACCGAGCGAACGUUGUUCGGAAUCACUGGGCUUAAAGGGCGCGUAGGCGGGUGCUCAAGUCUGUGGUGAAAUCCUCCAGCUUAACUGGAGAACUGCCAUGGAUACUGGGUGUCUCGAGGAAGAUAGGGGUAUGCGGAACGAUUGGUGGAGCGGUGAAAUGCGUUGAUAUCAAUCGGAACUCCGGUGGCGAAGGCGGCAUACUGGACCUUUUCUGACGCUGAGGCGCGAAAGCUAGGGGAGCAAACGGGAUUAGAAACCCCCGUAGUCC